GGAGUUUAGCUCAGCUGGGAGAGCAUCUGCCUUACAAGCAGAGGGUCAGCGGUUCGAUCCCGCUAGGCUCCA
rnacentral:tRNA from 1 species